UUGACCUCAAAUCAGGUAGGACUACCCGCUGAACUUAACAUUUUUAAGCG
rnacentral:rRNA from 1 species